AGUGAACGCUGGCGGUAGGCCUAACACAUGCAAGUCGAACGGCAGCACAGUAAGAGCUUGCUCUUACGGGUGGCGAGUGGCGGACGGGUGAGGAAUACAUCGGAAUCUACUUUUUCGUGGGGGAUAACGUAGGGAAACUUACGCUAAUACCGCAUACGACCUACGGGUGAAAGCAGGGGAUCCUCGGACCUUGCGCGAUUGAAUGAGCCGAUGUCGGGUUAGCUAGUUGGCGGGGUAAAGGCCCACCAAGGCGACGAUCCGUAGCUGGUCUGAGAGGAUGAUCAGCCACACUGGAACUGAGACACGGUCCAGACUCCUACGGGAGGCAGCAGUGGGGAAUAUUGGACAAUGGGCGCAAGCCUGAUCCAGCCAUACCGCGUGGGUGAAGAAGGCCUUCGGGUUGUAAAGCCCUUUUGUUGGGAAAGAAAAGCAGCAGGUUAAUACCCCGCUGUUCUGACGGUACCCAAAGAAUAAGCACCGGCUAACUUCGUG
rnacentral:rRNA from 1 species